rnacentral:miRNA from 1 species
GAGAAUUGCUUGAGCCUGGGAGAUGGAGGUUGUAGUGAGCUGAGACCAUGCCAUUGCACCCCAGCCUGGGC